rnacentral:rRNA from 1 species
CAGUAGCCGCGGGAAUACAGAGGGUGCGAGCGUUAAUCGGAUUUACUGGGCGUAAAGCGUGCGUAGGCGGCUUUUUAAGUCGGAUGUGAAAUCCCUGAGCUUAACUUAGGAAUUGCAUUCGAUACUGGGAAGCUAGAGUAUGGGAGAGGAUGGUAGAAUUCCAGGUGUAGCGGUGAAAUGCGUAGAGAUCUGGAGGAAUACCGAUGGCGAAGGCAGCCAUCUGGCUUAAUACUGACGCUGAGGUACGAAAGCAUGGGGAGCAAACAGGAUUAGAUACCCCAGUAGUCCCUGUCUCUUAUAC